UACGGAGGGUGCGAGCGUUGUCCGGAUUUAUUGGGUUUAAAGGGUGCGUAGGCGGCCCGUUAAGUCAGCGGUGAAAUCCCCCGGCUCAACCGGGGAACUGCCGUUGAUACUGGCGGGCUUGAGUACAGACGAGGCAGGCGGAAUUGAUGGUGUAGCGGUGAAAUGCAUAGAUACCAUCAGGAACCCCGAUUGCGAAGGCAGCCUGCUAGGCUGUGACUGACGCUGAGGCACGAAAGCGUGGGGAGCGAACAGG
rnacentral:misc_RNA from 1 species